ensembl:lncRNA
AUCAGGUUGAUCUGAAGACAGCCACAUCAACUCUGACACUGGAGGUCGAAGGAUAGAGUGUGAUGCAGGAGAGUGAUGAUCUAGAGACAGCUGGGACAUCUCAAUCCCAGGAGACUGAACGAGUGGCAAAGGCUGCAGUGGUGACCUUCACUACCAUGACCCGCAAGGCUGCAGCCUCCCAGACCAGCCUCACCCUCAGCAGGGGAAAGAGAAGCUACCCAGACCUACACGCCUUUGUGCAGGACAUAAAGGAUGGCCAUUGGAAUCUGCUGAGUGAGAAUAUGCGUGCCGGGAUGAGCAGAGAUGAGUUUAGUGCUAGGUGCAUAUGGAUAUUACAAAUUGGGUGAUGGAGUCUACAUCCACUGUGGUCGUUCCUGCCAUUGACCUCACUAUGCAGAUCGAGCUCUCUGAUUCGUCAAGCUCUUCUGGAUCAGGAAGUAAUGAGACAAGAGAAGUGACCUCUCUUGGCCGCAGCGUCAGAUUCAGCUUUUGUGGUGGACCCAGUAGACGCACCAGUUCUGGAACUGCUUGAAGCACACAAACUCCCACGCCUUUCCCCUCCUCUCACAGGUACCUAUCCCCAUCCCCUCCUCUCACAGGUACCUACCCCCAUCCCCUCCUCUCACAGGUACCUACCCCCAUCCCCUCCUCUCACAGGUACCUACCAUUAUAGGUACCUACCCCUAUCCCCUUUU